UACGAAGGGGGCUAGCGUUGCUCGGAAUGACUGGGCGUAAAGGGCGCGUAGGCGGAUGACUUAGUUAGGUGUGAAAUUCCCGGGCUUAACCUGGGGGCUGCAUUUGAUACGUGUUGUCUAGAGUGAGGAAGAGGGUUGUGGAAUUCCCAGUGUAGAGGUGAAAUUCGUAGAUAUUGGGAAGAACACCGGUGGCGAAGGCGGCAACCUGGUCCUUGACUGACGCUGAGGCGCGAAAGCGUGGGGAGCAAACAGG
rnacentral:rRNA from 1 species